AUGACGAUAUGUGAAAUUAAAUAAAGCGGACUUCUAAUCCGUAGGUCGCAGGUUCGAAUCCUGCCAGGCGUA
rfam:Desulfobacula toluolica Tol2 complete genome